GAGAGGUUGAUGAAGUUAAGGAGCUCAUUGAGAUAGCUAGAGAGUAUGUCCUGGGAUUGAAGAUAGAAGUCAAAAGAAAGGAAACCAAAGGCGACACAGUUCGGCAGCAAGAGCUGGCGGCAUAUUUCACCAACUGCAAGCUUCAGAAGAUUCAUGCGAGGUUGGUGUUAAGAAGUGCCAUGACUAUAUGCUACAAGGGAAAAAAUUUCGCGACAGCAGCCAAUUUUGCUAGAAUGUUUCUGGAGAGCAGCCCCUCGGACACUCAAGCAAGUAAUGCGAGGCAGGUGCUAAAUGCUUGUGGCGAUAAGAAAGAUACAGAGCAGCUGAACUAUGAUUUCCGGAAUCCGUUUGUAGUUUGCGGGGCAACGUAUGUUCCAAUUUAUCGUGGCCAGAAGGACGUUCCUUGUCCGUACUGCAGGGCCCGUUUUGUGCCAGCGAUCGAAGGGCAGAUUUGUUCGGUUUGUGAGCUCGCGGUGGUGGGGUUGGAUGCAUCGGGUCUUUUCUGUUCUCCCUCACAGACAAGAUAAGGCAAGGUACUUACCUAUAAUCUGCCACCUUUAUUCACUUAGUUCAAGACUGUGGUGCUAUUUCUUGCUUGGUUUCUUAGUCAUUGUGUUAAGCUAUAGCAAUAAAAAUAGGUAUGCUGCUUUUGAAUAG
rnacentral:misc_RNA from 1 species